rnacentral:ncRNA from 1 species
CUUUCUCUCAGGUUCUGGUAAAGCCCUCGGAAUGGCUGGAACCUGGUUGGCCGCACCCCCCAGUGUGCGGUCUUUUUUA